rnacentral:lncRNA from 10 species
CAAGGAGAGCAAGAGGCAAAUGGGGUGAGGCCUGCUUAGGAACAGGAGGCCCCCAAGACCCCCCACAGGGACAGGUGUGGUGUCUGCCUGGGGCCUUGCUGCUCUACACUCCCCAGCAUGUCAUGGGCACACAAAAGGACAGCGGUGAGGGCCUGCCCACACGUGGGGAGGGGGACCCUGGGGUUGGCUCCCAGGGCCAUCUAGAGAGUCUAGACCUCCAAGGAGCCCAGAUGGGGACAGCAGCAGCAGGGAGCAUCUUACAGAGGGCCAGGGCCAUGGGGGACGGGAGCGGGGUGGGGGGACAGCAGAAGCAGGGAGCAUUUUACAGAUAGGGCCAGGGCCACGGGGGACGGGAGCAGGGCGGAGGGGGAGCAGUAGGAGUAGGAAAGCAUGACCCAAGCCAGCAUGUCACCCUCCUGACCUGGGACCUUGGGUAACUGUGGGCUGGCCCUCUGCGCCCCCUCCCACUGCCUGCCUGUAAGGUGCAGGUGGGCUGCCCUGGGGGGCUUGCAGCCUCAUCAGGACUCCUGCAGUAACACCAGGGACCAGAGCAAGCUGGAGAGCAAGAUGCAAACAGCAGGAACCGGCCCUUGAGAAAGACGCAGCCAGGAAAGAGGCCCAGAACGUGGGGCUCCACCACCCCAGGACCUCUGUCAGCCAUGGCCAAGACCAGCGCCCCCACCUCCCACGGAGGGGAGCCUGCCUCGGCUUCCACCCUGAGCACCUGCCAGGGGUCAGGCCCAUCUGGCUCCUGGCCUGAGCAGCAGCUGCAGCCUCCACAGGGAAGGCCUGGGUCCAGGUGUGUGGAACUAACAAGCACAUGGAGCCAGCCGAUUCCACACGGCAUCCUGGACACUUUCCUCACAAUUUUCGCAAAACCUUAGUCCCAUAAGGGAGGCCAAGGCAACGCCAGGGUUCAGGAGUUGAGGGUUGCAGUGGGAAUUCCUGAGCACGCAUGGGACACAGAAUAUAUUCAGGGGAUGGUGCUGAACUCAGUAAGGAAAAAGGAGACUAGAGUGAGGCGGCAAGCUCAAGAUGGGAAGAAAAUAGAACGAAUGCAAAGGAGAGGAGACCAGCAAACAGCAAACUUUCCAGGAGCCCCUCCUUCAGCCCAGUAAGGCGGGGUAGGCCCUAGAGGAAGCCGGCUGGGGGCACCCAGUGCCAAACCACACCCCGGCUGACAGCUCAUGUCCGCAGCCCCCAGCCACAGAGCUCCUGGAGGGCGUGGGGCCUACAAGGAAUGAGAGCGGGCAGAGGCUGCCACAGUAAGCAUACGCAGAUGUUCACUCAUGUCUUGCAUCAGACCUGCAGCCUGGGUCGGGACCUCACGUGCCAAGAACUCCUUAGCGUCUUCUUUCCGGAAGGAAGCUACAGGUGUGCUGGGAAACCUAGCUGUUGGAGAGUGAGGUCAUGCUAUGCAGGACUGGCUGGCAAGGCAGGCCCUGGCAAAGCCAGGAAGCGCCCUGAGGAAGCCACGGGCCAAGGUCCUCUGUGACUGUUCCUGCACCCCAGAUCUCCCCGGGGUCUGGGUCGGCCUCCUCCUGUCACAUGACAGACUGAUAGAAUCUCCAAAUGUCUUUUUCCAAAAAGGGCACAGACUAUAAGCCCACAAAUUGCUCAGAGAAUUGCAGCAUCUCUUCAACUCCUUUGAUGUAAACGUCUACUUAAAGAAAGAAAAGGAAAAAAAGAAAGAACCUACACCUCAAUACUGCUCUGCAUCACUUCUGGGGAGAAGAAAGUUAGAUUCCUGGCAGAUGUCACCAGCCGAAGCCUUCUAUGAACAAACCGGGGGAAUUUCACAAUGCUGGAAGCAAACAAAUCUCUAAGCUCAGCAAACCAACGGGCUCCAGCCAGGUGCCCACAGCCAGCAGCUGGCAGUGCAGUGAGGGUGGAGGAACGCUGCAUGGUACCCUCUGACCCCUCCACGGCUUCCAAGUCUGUACAGUCAAAAACGUCUCCCAUUCACUGCGGAGAUGAGCGCCAAAGGCGGGGGGCGGCGGCGAGGAGGAGGACAACUUCCUAACACUUUUCUCCCUUCCCGCCAAGAAGCGCGAGGGGGCCUUCCCCUCCGACGGGCAGGUCUCCUUCCGAGGCUAGUGUCACCUCCACUCCACAGAGGAAAACGUCAGUCUCGGAAGGAGUUUGCUCAGGGUCAUCCAAUGGGGGCCCAGAAACACAGCUGGGCUGAGAAUGCCCAGAGUUUGACGCCCUGCUUCCAGGACGGAUGGCCUCCGCAGAGUCCCCCUUGCCUUGUUUCCUCGAAUGGAGGACCCUGGAAAAUAAACUCCUGAAGACGAGCAGGUCACCGAGUUCUCCAUCUGAUCAGGACCCUUCCUGAGGCCCGGCAGGAACCCCCGGGACACGGGGGAAGUCCCCAGGCUGUCCCCACAGGGCUUGCCCCCUCCUGCAACCCGC